UGGGUUGUGGCUCAGUGAUAGAGCGCUUGCCUAGCAUGUAUGAGGUACUGAGUUCAAUUCGCAGCACCGCAU
rnacentral:tRNA from 1 species